rnacentral:rRNA from 1 species
CAGCAGCCGCGGUAAUAUGUAUGUCACAAGCGUUAUCCGGAUUUAUUGGGCGUAAAGCGCGUCUAGGUGGUUAUGUAAGUCUGAUGUGAAAAUGCAGGGCUCAACUCUGUAUUGCGUUGGAAACUGUGUAACUAGAGUACUGGAGAGGUAAGCGGAACUACAAGUGUAGAGGUGAAGUUCGUAGAUAUUUGUAGGAAUGCCGAUGGGGAGGCCAGCUUACUGGACAGAUACUGACGCUAAAGCGCGAAAGCGUGGGUAGCAAACAGGAUUAGAUACCCCUGUAGUCCCUGUCUCUUAUACA